rnacentral:tRNA from 1 species
GCCAAGGUGGCGAAAUGGUAUACGCGCACGCUUUAGGAGCGUGUGGGGCGACCCAUGGAGGUUCAAGUCCUCUCCUUGGCACAA